rnacentral:lncRNA from 1 species
CCAACAUCAAUCAUAGUAAACUAACUAAUGAAUCGACCGUCAAGAUAGAACUGAAUCUACAUACAACCACGGAACAACAACAACAUCAAGCAAUAAAAUCCCUUUUGAGCGUAACAGUCCGAAGACAAACCAAAGAACGUACCAGAUAAGACGAUGAUAGUGGUGUGCAACCACUGCCGUUGAAAGAGAAGCCUAUAACCAACGAUGUGAGCAAAUUAGUUUAAGAUGAAUCCAAACGGUAAGAGAGAA